rnacentral:rRNA from 1 species
ACAAGUCGAGCGGAUGACGGGAGCUUGCUCCUUGAUUCAGCGGCGGACGGGUGAGUAAUGCCUAGGAAUCUGCCUGGUAGUGGGGGACAACGUUUCGAAAGGAACGCUAAUACCGCAUACGUCCUACGGGAGAAAGCAGGGGACCUUCGGGCCUUGCGCUAUCAGAUGAGCCUAGGUCGGAUUAGCUAGUUGGUGGGGUAAUGGCUCACCAAGGCGACGAUCCGUAACUGGUCUGAGAGGAUGAUCAGUCACACUGGAACUGAGACACGGUCCAGACUCCUACGGGAGGCAGCAGUGGGGAAUAUUGGACAAUGGGCGAAAGCCUGAUCCAGCCAUGCCGCGUGUGUGAAGAAGGUCUUCGGAUUGUAAAGCACUUUAAGUUGGGAGGAAGGGCAGUAAGCUAAUACCUUGCUGUUUUGACGUUACCGACAGAAUAAGCACCGGCUAACUCUGUGCCAGCAGCCGCGGUAAUACAGAGGGUGCAAGCGUUAAUCGGAAUUACUGGGCGUAAAGCGCGCGUAGGUGGUUUGUUAAGUUGGAUGUGAAAGCCCCGGGCUCAACCUGGGAACUGCAUCCAAAACUGGCAAGCUAGAGUACGGUAGAGGGUGGUGGAAUUUCCUGUGUAGCGGUGAAAUGCGUAGAUAUAGGAA